GGUGAACGCUGGCGGCGUGCUUAAGACAUGCAAGUCGGACGGCAGUCUUCGGACUGUAGUGGCGCACGGGUGAGUAACGCGUAACUGACCUACCCCAAAGCCGCGGAUAACGAUUCGAAAGAAUCGCUAAUACGUGAUGUGCUGUCAGAUUGUGUUCUGCCAGUAAAGAUUGAUUGCUUUGGGAUGGGGCUGCGGUCCAUCAGCUAGUUGGUGGGGUAAAGGCCCACCAAGGCGACGACGGAUAGCCGGCCUGCGGGGGUGGCCGGCCACAGGGGCACUGAGACACGGGUCCCACUCCUACGGGGGGAAGCAGUUAGGAAUCUGCCGCAAUGGGCGAAAGCCUGAUGGGGCGACGCCGCGUGGGGGAUGAAGGUCGUCGGAUCGUAAACCUCUGAAUCAGGGACGAAAAACACUUCGGUGGGAUGACGGUACCUGAGUAAUAGCACCGGCUAACUCCGUGCCAGCAGCCGCCGUAAGAC
rnacentral:rRNA from 1 species